rnacentral:rRNA from 2 species
UCCGGGAAACCGGAGCUUAAUUACCGGAUAAUCCAUUUACUUCAUGGUGAAAUGUUGAAAGGCGCUUUCGCGCCACUGCAGGUAUGGGGCCCGCGGUGCAUUAGCUAGUUGGUGGGGUAACGGCCUACCAAGGCGACGAUGCAUAGCCGACCUGAGAGGGUGAUCGGCCACAUUGGGACUGAGACACGGCCCAAACUCCUACGGGAGGCAGCAGUAGGGAAUCUUCCACAAUGGACGAAAGUCUGAUGGAGAACGCCGCGUGAGUGAUGAAGGUUUUCGGAUCGUAAAACUCUGUUGUAAGGGAAGNACAAGUACGUUAGGAAAUGAACGUACCUUGACGGUGCCUUAUUAGAAAGCCACGGCUAACUACGUGCCAGCAGCCGCGUCAAUACGUAUGG